rnacentral:rRNA from 1 species
AUGCAGAUAGAGCUUGCCCCUUCAGAGAUCGUUACGGAAGUUUCUGGGACAGUUGGUGUCUUUGCAGAAGACAAUGUCGAAUAUAAUGCUAUAGCAUCCCUCACCAUUACCACAAACCUACGCCCGUACGGUCCCUUCGGAAAAACACAGAGCACUCCUUUCAGUGUUCCAGUGCAGGCCAAUAAUAACAUCGUGGGUUUCUUCGCGUGCGCUGGUAAGUACGUGGAGGCGCUCGGGGUUUACGUACGUUCACCCAUCUCAACCUAG